GACGAACGCUGGCGGCGUGCCUAAUACAUGCAAGUCGAACGGAAAGGCCUCUUUUGGGGGGUCCUCGAGUGGCGAACGGGUGAGUAACACGUGAGUAACCUGUGCUUGACAUUGGGAGAACUCCAGGAGACAGGGGAGAAUAUAGGACAGAAGCUCCUGCGGUACGGUGGGGGUUGGAAAGUUUCGGCGGUUGGGGAUUGUCACGCGGCUUAUCGGCGUGUUGGUGGGGUAGUGGGUUACCGAGGCAUUGACGGGUCGCCGGCCCGGGAGCGUGACCGGGCACCUUGGGACUGAGAGACGGCGCAGACGCGUACCGGAGGCAAUGGUGGGGAAUAUUGCCCAAUGGGUGCAAGCCUGAUGCAGCAGCGCCCGGUGCGGGAUGACCGGCUUCGGGUUGAGAACCGCUUUCGCUCAUGACGAAGCUUUGUGUGACGGUAGUUGAUAAAGAAGCACCGGCUAACUACGUG
rnacentral:rRNA from 1 species